ACCACCUAGCUUCUUUUCUUUCCGUUUCAUCGCUUAAAAACCCAUUUUCUAUAUAUCUUCAUCGCCGCUUCUUCCUUUCUGUGCCUUCCCAUCUUCAAACCCUAGUUUUCUUUCUCUGUCUAGGCAAGGCCCUAACCGAUCGAAGCCAGAACGAAGCCCACGCAGGAGGCUUCAUGGGUGAUCAAAAGCUCCUACUGGUUGCCAUUGAUGGCUUUGUGCCAAAGUUCAGUUUUGCCAGAAAGUAUCGUGUGUGCUUUGAUGACUUCUAGCUCAACCAGAGAUCUACUGCUAGAGAAGAUAGCAGUUGAUCUUUGACUUGCUAUUUAUUGUGACUUCCUGAUGAAAUAAAACUGAAGAUCGUUGAGUUAUUUGAUGUGUAGAUCUUGCAAAGGUCGGGUGCAUUUGUUUGGAAUUUAGAAGUUUGACAUCAGAUGAAUGUUUGUGAAAGCACAAGUUCUCCUGGAGUUCGAUGAUAAGGUGAGGGACGUGCUGAAGGAGAGACCCUCUGGAAGCAUAAGUUUGAGGAGGCUUGGAGAGAGAAGUUCCAUUGGAUGAGAUAAGUAGUUUCAAAAGAGGCAUGAUACAAUCCUUUGAAUUCGGAGCACUACCAAAAUUUCGUGUUGAAGAAUCUGGGCAUUCAUUAUUAAAUCUAUAUCCAAACCCAAAUCCAAUUUGGUUCUGGUGUAAGUGGCCAAAAGCCCAAGGCCCUAACCGAUUGAAGUGCAUAGGAAAUCGCUUUCUGACAAAAUUACAGAGGCUUCAUGGGUGAUCAAAAGCUCCUGGUGGUUGCCAUUGAUGGCAUUGUGCCUAAGUUUAUUUUUGCCAGAGAUGGUUUUCAAGUCACAUUGGACACUACCAUCCAUGAUUUAAUCAGUUCCAAUUAUUGUUUUGCAUUUGAGGUGAGAAGUAGCGAUUAUUAUGAUGCAAAAGAAGGCAACAAGGUUGCUUUUUUGAAGUUUCAAUCUUCUAGAAAAUAUGCUUUUACUUAUGGAUGGGUUAUCGCGAACAAUGAUGUAAAGUACUUUGAUGAGUUCGAGCUCAACCUAAUAUCUGCCUUGCCUCUGUUGGAACUACUAAUCUCAUGGAAUGGAACUUCUUCACUCUCCAGCCUCAGCAAACUUGUGCUUCUAGAGGCUCUCUCCUUCAGCAUGCUCCCUCACCUUCUCACUGAACUCCAGGAGAAACUUGUGCUUCCACAAACAUUCAUCCGAUGUCAAAUUUCUAAAUUCUGAACAAAUGCACCCGAGCUUUGCAAGAUCUACACCAUCGAGUGACCCAACGAUCUUCAGUUUUAUUUCAUCAGGAAGGCACCACAGAGCAAGUCAAAGAUCUAAUGUUAUCUUUUGUAAUUCAAGUUACUCGUAAUUUCGUGUUGAGAAUCUGUGAGCACUGCUAUCAUCUCUUAUCAUCAAACUCAAUGUCUACUUGGUGGUGGUGAUCUAGUUUUUUGUCCAUCCUUCUAUCCAUAUAGUUAAACAUCAUGGCUAUAAAUGUAGUUUCUUAUUUAUUAUAUGUAUAUAUUUGGGGGAGAUUUUACAAGAUUUAUAUCCCAAAAUUUGGAAUGUUUGGUCUAGCACAAGGAACCUCAUAGAAUUGGCCAUACCUUUAUAGAAUUAAAUGUUACCCGUAGAAACUUACUUUGAA